rnacentral:lncRNA from 1 species
CAGAACAAUGUGGAAAGCACAUACAAGAUGCCUCCGAAAAUCAGCUGGACGGUGGGAGGGAUCAAGAAUGACUGCCGUCACCAUGGAAACUCCUUGAUGGCGAGAUUGCUUUGAGAACCAGGAGGGGAUGAGAUAAGCACCAGAGGAACACUGGGCAGUCAGGGCCCAGCAUCCACCAACCCUUUCUUCCAGAUAACUCCUUUGUUCUCUGGGCUGGUCUCCCUCUUGCUCCUAUAGGGGCCCUUUCUGACUCUUCACCUGUUUUGAUUCUUCAGUGGUGCCCUUCCCGGGUCUGGGAGGGAAGGGCCCGAGGCCCACUCAGGGCUGCCCCAGGAUGGCCACUUCUCACUGCAGCCCAGACACCCUGGUCUAUAAGACACACUAUCCUUGCCACUGAGAAGGAAGGGACGUCAACACUUUUGAGCCAAGCCCUGUGUCCCCUGCAUCCUGCAAGGAAGAAGAAAAAUAAAGACCUGACUAUUUUUCACAGGUGCAACGGGUGACUAAAGACAGAAAGAGAGUGGUGUGGUUUUCACUUCAUCUUGUUGAGAAGCCAGGGCCUGAAGUCCAGAGAUCCCCAUUCACAUGCACCCUCUUGGGUGGGAAGGGGAGGAACUCUUACCUCCCUCUCUGCCAUGUUCUCCUCUCGUUGCCCAUUUGUGUACUAUCCUCCCUGUCCCCUACCUGACUGCAUGUGCCUUCAAUGCAAAGGUCUUACUGCUCAUCAGCUUUACAUCUGCAUCACAGUCACAAUUCCUGCACCUUACAGGCCUGGAUCAAAUUCUUGUGAAUGAGCAAAAGCAUCUCUAAAGGUCACCAGUGCCCUGCUUGUCUCAAUCCUAGCCGGACACUAGGCUAUAAUGCUCAUUAUAAAUGUGAAAAUAAGGAAGGAGACCACCUCUCCCAUUGUCUCCUGUUUCAAAAAGGAAGCAGAAAGUUAAAAAGAAGCAGAAGUGAGGUCAACAGCCAGACAGCUUGGCACCAAAAACCAGGCCUGGUAGUUAAACAUCAACUCCUAACCUAACUGCUUGUGUUAUCUGUAGAUGCCAGACAUCGUAUGAGGAAGCGCUGUGAAACUUUCUGUUCUGUUCUGCUAGCCCCCAUUACUGAUGCACGUAGCCCUCAAUCCCAUAGCCCCCGCUUGCACAAUGUAUCACGACCCUUUCACGUGGACCCCUUAGAGUUGUAAGCCCUUAAAAGGGACAGGAAUCUUCACUUUGGGGAGCUCAGACCUUGAGAUGCGAGUCUACUGAUGCUCCCAGCUGAUUAAAGCCUCUUCCUUCCUUAAACU